rnacentral:rRNA from 1 species
AGCAGCCGCGGUAAUUCCAGCUCCAAUAGCGUAUAUUAAAGUUGUUGCAGUUAAAAAGCUCGUAGUUGAAUUUCGGGGUUAGUAGGUUGGUCAUGCCUCUGGUAUGUACUGAUCUCACUGAUUCCUCCUUCCUUAUGAACCGUAAUGCCAUUAAUUUGGUGUUGCGGGGAAUUUGGACUGUUACUUUGAAAAAAUUAGAGUGUUUAAAGCAAGCUAACGCUUGAAUACAUUAGCGUGGAAUAAUGAAAUAGGACGUUCGAUCUUAUUUUGUUGGUUUCUAGGAUUGACGUAAUGAUUAAUAGGGAUAGUUGGGGGCAUUAGUAUUCAAUUGUCAGAGGUGAAAUUCUUGGAUUUAUUGAAGACUAACUACUGCGAAAGCAUUUGCCAAGGAUGUUUUCAUUAAUCAAGAACGAAAGUUAGGGGAUCGAAGACGAUCAGAUACCGUCGUAG